GUAGGCAGCAAGCGUUGUUCGGAGUUACUGGGCGUAAAGGGUGUGUAGGCGGCCUGUUAAGUUCCGUGUGAAAUCUCCCGGCUCAACCGGGAGGGUGCGCGGAAUACUGACGGGCUAGAGUGCGGGAUGGGAGAGUAGAAUUCCUGGUGUAGCGGUGAAAUGCGUAGAUAUCAGGAGGAAUACCGGUGGUGUAGACGGCUCUCUGGACCGUAACUGACGCUGAGACACGAAAGCGUGGGUAGCAAACAGGAUUAGAUACCCUGGUAGUCCACGCCCUAAACGAUGCAUAUUUGGUGUAGGUCAUUCAGUUGAUCUGUGCCGGAGCUAACGCGUUAAAUAUGCCGCCUGGGGAGUACAGUCGCAAGGCUG
rnacentral:rRNA from 1 species